GCUGGAUUUUGACCUAUUUCUUCCCCCAGACAUUUCUUUGGAAGCGGGGCUCCGCAAAGAUUUGGAUUCCCCUCAUAUGAGGAUGCAUUAAAGGUAUCAAGAUGAGGGCUUGUCGGAAUUUUUCCGGACACAUUGUUGUUUGACAAGUCCAAGACACUUAGACGAUCAAUAUGAGAAAGGCUUGAAGGAAUUCCACC